UACGUAGGGGGCAAGCGUUGUCCGGAUUUAUUGGGCGUAAAGAGCGUGUAGGCGGCUUUACAGGUCCGUUGUGAAAACUCGAGGCUCAACCUCGAGACGCCGGUGGAAACCGUAAAGCUAGAGUCCGGAAGAGGAGAGUGGAAUUCCUGGUGUAGCGGUGAAAUGCGCAGAUAUCAGGAAGAACACCCGUGGCGAAGGCGGGUCUCUGGGCAGUAACUGACGCUGAGGAGCGAAAGCGUGGGGAGCGAACAGG
rnacentral:rRNA from 1 species